rnacentral:miRNA from 1 species
CAGGACGGUGAGCUGAAUGUGAAUUUUAUAUAAACAAUGAAAUAUAUAUUUGUAUAAGCAUGACCCAUGCAAUAUUUGGGAUAUAAUUAUGCUAAAAAAUUAUACAUCAUUUAUCUGCAAUUCAAAUUUAACUGGGUGUCCUGU